rnacentral:rRNA from 1 species
UUACAGCAUUAAAUGGAUACUUAAGCAUUAAAAUUCUGAUGGACGUUUUAUAACGAAAUGUCGUAACGAGUAGAGUAAAGAUACUGAGACUUAUGACUUUCCAUCAAUUCGGAAAAUCGAAUCUUCGUUUAAUAGAAGACUUGUUUAAAGGUUUUUAAACAAAAAAUUUGGUGAAUUGAAUCAUCUAAGUAACCAAAGUUAUAAAAUCAACCGAGAUACUGUUAGUAGUGGCGAACGAAUGCAGGAAAAGACUUAUAAGUUAAAAACUUUAUUUAAUAUGUAAUAGCCAUAGAAGGUAACCUAACAAUAGGAUAGCCCUGUAAAAUAAAGCUUUUUUAACUUUUGUACAGUAAAAUAGACCACGUCAUGGUCCGUUUGAAUAUUGGGGUCCCAUCCUCAAAGUCUAAAAAUUUUAAUGACUAAUAGUGAAACUUGCAAAGGCCUACCUAUCCCAAUUGGACCAACAAGUUUAUUUUAGUGGCGAGCUUAAAUAUUAAAAUAUGUAGGCGUAAAGAAAUUAAGUUUUAAAAUGCUCUUUAGUCUCUAGAAUAAGACCCGAAACUAAGUGAUCUAAUCAUGAACUGGUUGAAGUUUAGGCGGAAACGCCUUUCGGAGGACCGAACCCGUGUAUGUGGAAAAAUACUGGGAUGAUUUGUGAUUAGGGGUGAAAGGCCAAUCAAACUUAGAGAUAGCUGGUUUUCUGCGAAAUCUAUUUAAGUAGAGCGUUUAAAGAACUUUAUUAAGGGUAGAGCUCUCGAUAAACAAUGGGGGCUUAACGCUUUACUGAGUUUAUUGAAACUUCGAAUAUUAAUUAUAAUGACUUUAAGCAGACAGACUAUGAGUGCUAAGAUUCAUAGUCAAAAGGGAAACAGCCCAGAUUAUUGAUUAAGGCUCUUAAAAGUGAUUAAGUGGAAAAAUUGUGAAAAAAUGUUGACAACCGAAAGGUAGGCUUAGAAGCAGCCAUUCUUUAAAGAAAGCGUAACAGCUCAUUGGUUUAGUUUUUUUGCAUUGAAAAUGUAUAGGAACUAAAAUUACUUGCCGAAAUUGUAAAUUUAAAAGAUAAUGGUAGCAGAACGUUCUGUAAAUUUAAGAAGUUUUAUAGUAAUAUAAAAUGGAAAUAUCAGAAAUGAUAAUGUUGGUAUGAGUAACGACAAACAAUGUGUGAAACAUUGUCGCCUUAAGUUCAAGGUUUCCAAAACAAGGCUAAUCCGUUUUGGUAUUUAAUAUAUUGUUAAUCGGUCUCUAAGGAUAAAAACGAAAGUUUAGUUCUAAUGAGGUAAAAAUUAUUUUUUCUUUUUUAAAAGUGACAAAAUAUGAAUAUUAUUUUUAUUUUAUGGUUUAAAUAAAAGUUUUAUAGUAUUUUCUGGAAAUAGCUUUUAAUAUAAUUAACCGUACCCUAAACCGACACAGGUGAACAAGUUUAGAAAACUAAGGCGCUUGAGAGAAUUAUGUUGAAGGAACUCGGCAAAAUGACUCCGUAACUUCGGAAUAAGGAGUGACUCUGAGGGGGCAACCUUUUAGAGUUGUCACAAAAUCGGGGACAGCGACUGUUUAUUAAAAAGUGCGACCAGCAAAGCUGAAUAAAGCAAUACAUCUGAGAUGAUGUCUUCUCUUCCAAUUGAGAUGAGUCUACUAGGAUAUGCUAUCAUCGGUAACGAUGUAGUGUAAAGCUUCUAGGACAAUGUACUUCCUCAUCAUAGCUAGAUUGAUGAAACCCCUAUGCAUUUGUUGCAUACGCGGAAGGCUAGACUAGAAUUAUAUGUUUAACGAAAGUAAAUCUUCCAUUAUUAGGCCUCGUGAAAACAGCGUCUUGAAACUAAGCUGAUACGAGAUUAUGUAGUUGGUGCUCCGUCCUUUUUAUGCGGCGCACGAUUGGACACACGACUACCGAGGUAGAGGAGAAAGCUAAGUAAUUCAAAUGUGUUUUAUUCAGAACUGGGUAAGCCCUAAUUCUUCCUAACUUUUAGAAGGUGGUAUUGUCGCGAGAUGAUAUAUCGGAAUGAGGGUAAAAGAGUUUGGAAAAAGCAAAUGCUAUAAUGUAAUGUUAUAGAUAGAAUCCGGAAUAAUGUCCUAUGAUUUAACUCGAAAGGGUGCCCACUUCCAAAUGGCUAACCUUAUUUAUUACUGAAUUAUUGUUAAAUGACGUUGAAAUUAGAUCAAUUUAAAAACAAUGCUCAAAAUUGGGCUCAUAUAGACUGGGCCUUGGCUAGAGCUGAUCUAGCUGGUCUACAAUACAAGGUUUUAAAGGCUUUCAAGAGUGGUAACAUGACUAAUGUACGUCAUGCUCCAGUAAGAAUGGACACUCAAGAGCGGUAUGGAAAGAAAAAAGAAUUAUAAAAUAGUUACGAAAUAUAUAUGUUCUAUAUCUUUCUGUGCAAGGAGGCUCGAGCCGUGUGAGGGGAAACUUUCAAGCACGGUUUUGAAUCAGGGGUGAGUUGAGAGAUCAUUUGCCUACUGUAAUUACAGUUAUGCAUUGUAAUGAAAUUUUUUUUAUGUAGCAUAAGUGGGAAGUUGUUAGAAGAUCUCUUUGCGCAAGCAAAUAAGUGAAACAUCCUUGAAAUACCACUUUAAAAAUUUUUUAUUACUUAUUGUUUAAGACAGUGUAUAAUGGGUAGUUUGACUGGGGCGGUCGCCUCCUAAAGAGUAACGGAGGCGUGCAAAGGUAAAUUUGGGUUGAACUAUCACAAUUCUAAAGCAUAAUAGUAUAUAUUUGCCUGACUGUAAGAUUGACAAAUCAAGCAGGGACGAAAGUCGGUUAUAGUGAUCCGAUGAUUCUGAGUGGAAAAGGUCAUCGCUCAACGAAUAAAAGGUACGCCGGGGAUAACAGGCUAAUCACCCUCUAGAGACCCUAUCGACGGGGUGGUUUGGCACCUCGAUGUUGGAUUAUCGCAUCCUGGAGCUGUAAGUGGUUCCAAGGGUUUGGCUGUUCGCCAAUGAAGGCGGUACAUGAUCUGAGUUUAGAACGUUGCGAAACAGUUUGGUCCCUAUCUACCGCGAGUGUAAAAAAUUGAGAGGAGUAAACCUUAGUACGAGAGGACCGGGAAAAGUAAAUCCAUGGUGAAUCGAUUGUUAUACCAAUAGCAUAGUCGAGUAGCUACAUUUAUAAUAAAUAAUUACUGAAAGCAUCUAAGUAAGAAAUUAGCCUCAAUACAAGUUUUUUAAAAAAUGUAGCAGACCACUACAUUGAUAGGCUUGGUGUGUAAGGAUUGUAAGAUCUUUAGCUAACAAGUACUAAAUUAAUUUUAACAUACUUUU